rnacentral:rRNA from 1 species
AGAGUUUGAUCCUGGCUACAGAACGAACGCUGGCGGCAUGGAUUAGGCAUGCAAGUCGAACGGGCGCAGCAAUGCGUCAGUGGCGAAAGGGUGAGGAACACGUGAGUAACUUGCCCCCAAGUUCGGAAUAGCUUUGGGAAACUGAAGAUAAUACCGGAUGUGGUUGUUCUGCUGCAUGGCAGAGCAACUAAAGGUUUACCGCUUGGGGAUAGGCUCGCGUCCCAUUAGCUAGUUGGUGAGGCAACGGCUCACCAAGGCGACGAUGGGUAGCUGGUCUGAGAGGAUGGGUCAGCCACACUGGGACUGAGACACUGCCCAGACUCCUACGGGAGGCUGCAGUCGAGAAUCUUCCGCAAUGCGCGAAAGCGUGACGGAGCAAUGCCGCGUGCCGGAUGAAGGUCUUCGGAUUGUAAACGGCUGUCGACCGGGACGAACCAAUGACGGUACCGGUAGAGGAAGCCACGGCUAACUACGUGCC